UCUGAUCAGGACUCUGAUGAGUCUCUCAUGGCCUGUAAAGCCUGAGACAGCUGCCUUGUGUGGGACUGAGAUGCAGGAUUUCUUCACGCCUCACCUUUGUGACUUCAAGAGCUUCUGGCAUCUCUUUCUGCAAAGGCAUCUGAAUGUGUCUGCAUCCCUGUUAGCAUAAUGUGAGGAGAUGGAGGGAUAGCCUACCCCCGUGUCCACCAUGACCCCUGUUCCCACGCUGACCUGUGUUCCCUCCCCCGUCAUCUUUCCUGUUCCAGAGAGGUGGGGCUGGAUGUCUCCAUCUCAGUCUCAACUUCAUGCUGCAUUGAGCUGCAACCUCUUACUUCCCUACUGAAAAUAAGAAUCUCAAUAGAAAUUUGUUUUCUCAAUAUUUGCCAUGAGAAGUUGAUGGGUUAAUUAAAUAAGUCAAUUCCUAAAAUUUGAGAGAGGAAAUAAAGACCUGAGAACCUUCCAGAA